GACGAACGCUGGCGGCGUGCCUAAUACAUGCAAGUUGAGCGCUGAAGGUUGGUACUUGUACCGACUGGAUGAGCAGCGAACGGGUGAGUAACGCGUGGGGAAUCUGCCUUUGAGCGGGGGACAACAUUUGGAAACGAAUGCUAAUACCGCAUAAAAACUUUAAACACAAGUUUUAAGUUUGAAAGAUGCAAUUGCAUCACUCAAAGAUGAUCCCGCGUUGUAUUAGCUAGUUGGUGAGGUAAAGGCUCACCAAGGCGAUGAUACAUAGCCGACCUGAGAGGGUGAUCGGCCACAUUGGGACUGAGACAAGGCCCAAACUCCUCAGGGAGGCAGCAGUAGGGAAUCUUCGGCAAUGGACGAAAGUCUGACCGAGCAACGCCGCGUGAGUGAAGAAGGUUUUCGGAUCGUAAAACUCUGUUGGUAGAGAAGAACGUUGGUGAGAGUGGAAAGCUCAUCAAGUGACGGUAACUACCCAGAAAGGGACGGCUAACUACGUGCCAGCAGCCGCCGUAA
rnacentral:rRNA from 1 species